CCUACGGGUGGCAGCAGUGAGGAAUAUUGGUCAAUGGACGAGAGUCUGAACCAGCCAAGUAGCGUGAAGGAUGACUGCCCUAUGGGUUGUAAACUUCUUUUAUAUGGGAAUAAAAUGUUCAACGUGUGGGAGUUUGUAUGUACCAUAUGAAUAAGGAUCGGCUAACUCCGUGCCAGCAGCCGCGGUAAUACGGAGGAUCCGAGCGUUAUCCGGAUUUAUUGGGUUUAAAGGGAGCGUAGGUGGAUUGUUAAGUCAGUUGUGAAAGUUUGCGGCUCAACCGUAGAAUUGCAGUUGAAACUGGCAGUCUUGAGUACAGUAGAGGUAGGCGGAAUUCGUGGUGUAGCGGUGAAAUGCUUAGAUAUCACGAAGAACUCCGAUUGCGAAGGCAGCUCACUGGACUGCAACUGACACUGAGGCUCGAAAGUGUGGGUAUCAAACAGGAUUAGAUACCCUUGUAGUC
rnacentral:rRNA from 1 species